CCUACGGGGGGCAGCAGUAGGGAAUAUUGCUCAAUGGGGGAAACCCUGAAGCAGCAACGCCGCGUGGAGGAUGAAGGUUUUCGGAUUGUAAACUCCUUUUGUUAGAGAAGAUAAUGACGGUAUCUAACGAAUAAGCACCGGCUAACUCCGUGCCAGCAGCCGCGGGAAUACGGAGGGUGCAAGCGUUACUCGGAAUCACUGGGCGUAAAGAGCGCGGAGGCGGGAUAGCAAGUCAGAUGUGAAAUCCUAUGGCUUAACCAUAGAACUGCAUUUGAAACUGUUAUUCUAGAGUAUGGGAGAGGUAGGUGGAAUGCUUGGUGUAGGGGUAAAAUCCGUAGAGAUCAAGAGGAAUACUCAUUGCGAAGGCGACCUGCUAGAACAUAACUGACGCUGAUGCGCGAAAGCGUGGGGAGCAAACAGGAUUAGAUACCCCAGUAGUC
rnacentral:rRNA from 1 species